GGGAGUGACAUUCUAGGGGAAGAAAGGGAUAGCAUCGGCUUAGGCCCUUGGCUAAUUUUUCCAUUUGAUCCCGGCACCCUCUUGGAAUGUGGAAAUCUCUACACUCCCCACUUAAUGCUUGGUCAAGACGACAAGCAAUGUUUGGUUGUGGGUGCUAAUGAAGGAAGACAAGGUUCUUCGUUAUCUCUUUUUGUUAAUGGUGACCACUUCCUUUGUGCCAUUUGUACUAAGUUUUUUAAGUCCAACAC
rnacentral:lncRNA from 1 species